UUGAUUAAACUUUCUUUCUUUCAGAUGUGAUAAAUCCUUGUCUAAGAAGAAAAGCAAAUCUGAUUUAUCACCAAUCAAGUUUUCAUUUUCAAGAUCUAAUCCCGAUCAACAGAAAGACACAUUUGAUAGAUCGAAUUUCACUGAGCAAGAAAUAAAGUCAAUUAAUCUACAAGUAUUGUCAGACUAUUCCCAUUUAAAUGAAGUGGUUAGUAAUUUGAGUGAUGAGCAAAAAAGAGACAUUAGGGAUAUUGGGUUUGGGAGUCUCUUAGAUAUUAGGAUAAAGAAGUUUUGUCCUAAUCUGAAUUUGGAGGUGUUGUUAAAUUACAAUGCAUCUGGAAUGAUGUUUUCAACAAAGAAUGGUAAACUGAUU